AAGAAGACAGGACUGAGAAGAUGACAACAGCACAGCGGGGUUUUAGAAGCCCAUCAGAGUGAUUUUCUGAGUUCUUUCACAUGCUGUAUGGUCAGCGAAUGGAUGGAUUAUCCAGUCACGGUACAUAAUGAAAGAUGCAGUUAUGUCAAAGCACUUGUUUCGGCUGGCCAGAUUGGAACAGACCUGAAUGGGAAGAUGGCAGAGCUAAGACUGGCAAUGUCCAGGAAAAAUGUUAACUAAAAAUGAGUGUGUUUUUCACCAGCGAGUGAGUUUGGGAAUGUUUUAAAUGUGUCUAGAAGUUUGAAAAUGUAAUACUGAGGGGAAAAAGU